rnacentral:other from 1 species
GGUAUUCUGAUUUACUGGCCAGCGGUGAUUGUUCUCGAGCCGAUAAUUUUUAUACUGGAUGGUCUUCUUGUUGAACGUGUGCAAGUCCGGCUCGUAUCGGAAAGCCUUAUUUGAUGACUGAUUGUCCACUUGAACCCACGGGUUCAAGAGCAGCAGCCGCAGCCCUAACUCGGCUACCAU